rnacentral:rRNA from 1 species
GCUCAGAUUGAACGCUGGCGGCAUGCCUUACACAUGCAAGUCGAACGGCAGCACGGGAGCUUGCUCCUGGUGGCGAGUGGCGAACGGGUGAGUAAUAUAUCGGAACGUGCCCUAGAGUGGGGGAUAACUAGUCGAAAGAUUAGCUAAUACCGCAUACGAUCUACGGAUGAAAGUGGGGGAUCGCAAGACCUCAUGCUCGUGGAGCGGCCGAUAUCUGAUUAGCUAGUUGGUGGGGUAAAAGCUCACCAAGGCGACGAUCAGUAGCUGGUCUGAGAGGACGACCAGCCACACUGGAACUGAGACACGGUCCAGACUCCUACGGGAGGCAGCAGUGGGGAAUUUUGGACAAUGGGCGCAAGCCUGAUCCAGCAAUGCCGCGUGAGUGAAGAAGGCCUUCGGGUUGUAAAGCUCUUUUGUCAGGGAAGAAACGGGUGAGGUUAAUACC